rnacentral:other from 1 species
AGCCUUCUGCCUGGUGCGCGAAUGUGUGCACAAAUAACCCUACAAUUUUAAAUUGGGAGCCCGGGCUCCGGCGGCGGACUGCAGACCUCCCGGCCUUUGGCCGGAAGAAGGGAGCGAGAACCCGCAGGGAGGGCACCCACCUGCUUUUCGUAGGCAGGUUAUUGAGCACUUACGGCCAGGCGGAUAACUU